rnacentral:rRNA from 1 species
AACGUAGGUUCCGAGCGUUAUCCGGAUUUACUGGGCGUAAAGCGCGUUUAGGCGGUUUGGCAAGUCGGGCAUGAAAUCUCUCGGCUCAACCGGGAGAGGUUGUCCGAAACUGCUGGACUUGAGGGCAGUAGAGGGUGGUGGAAUUCCGGGUGUAGUGGUGAAAUGCGUAGAUAUCCGGAGGAACACCAGUGGCGAAAGCGGCCACCUGGACUGCACCUGACGCUGACACGCGAAAGCUAGGGGAGCGAACGGG